rnacentral:rRNA from 1 species
GACGAACGCUGGCGGCGUGCUUAACACAUGCAAGUCGAACGCUGAAGCUUGGUGCUUGCACUGGGUGGAUGAGUGGCUAACGGGUGAGUAAUAAGUGAGUAACCUGCCCUUGACUCUGGGAUAAGCCUGGGAAACUGGGUCUAAUACUGGAUACGACAUGUCACCGCAUGGUGGUGUGUGUAAAGGGUUGUACUGGUUUUGGAUGGGCUCACGGCCUAUCAGCUUGUUGGGGGGGUAAUGGCUCACCAAGGCGACGACGGGUAGCCGGCCUGAGAGGGUGACCGGCCACACUGGGACUGAGACACGGCCCAGACUCCUACGGGAGGCAGCAGUGGGGAAUAUUGCACAAUGGGCGGAAGCCUGAUGCAGCGACGCCGCGUGAGGGAUGACGGCCUUCGGGUUGUAAACCUCUUUCAGCACGGAAGAAGCGAAAGUGACGGUACGUGCAGAAGAAGCGCCGGCUAACUACGUG